rnacentral:rRNA from 1 species
CAGUCGCCACGGUAAUACGAAGGGUGCAAGCGUUACUCGGAAUUACUGGGCGUAAAGCGUGCGUAGGUGGUGGUUUAAGUCCGCUGUGAAAGCCCUGGGCUCAACCUGGGAAUUGCAGUGGAUACUGGGUCACUAGAGUGUGGUAGAGGAUAGUGGAAUUUCCGGUGUAGCAGUGAAAUGCGUAGAGAUCGGAAGGAACAUCUGUGGCGAAGGCGACUAUCUGGGCCAACACUGACACUGAGGCACGAAAGCGUGGGGAGCAAACAGGAUUAGAUACCCCCGUAGUCCCUGUCUCUUAUAC